UCAGAAAUUUCCUGUAAGCUCUCUUUUCAGCACAUACUUUGGUACCUCACAAUCUUAAAAACAUUGCCCACUGCCUUCUUUCCCCUGCAGAAUACAUGCUAUUGGAAAAGUAUUGGAAAAGACGAUUCAAAACUUUAUCAGACAUCUAUGCUCAAGAUGCAAAUAGGCCAGAUUUUACAGUCCAACAGCUGGCUGGAGAAGGGGAUUUACAGAAACCCUGUGACCAAGCUGACACCUUACCUCAGGCAGCACUACAAGACUUGGCUAUUGCAGCAAAAACCUCCUUGCUCCUUACCCCAGAUGACUCUACCCCUACCCAACACUUCUCUAGUAUUAAACAAGGAGUAGAUGAAAGCUUUAUCAGGUUUGUAGACAGAAUUAAAGAUGCUCUGGAAAAACAGAUAGAGAGCACAAGAGGCAAGAAAAGAACUGUUGUGCCAGCUUGCCUUAUCAAAUGCAAAUGAACAAUGUAAAACAAUUCUGAGGGCCCUACCCUUGGAUACAGAACCCACCAGAGAGCAAAUGGUGGAAAGCUGUACACGUCAUUUGUCCUCUGAAAACACAGUGGCCCAAGCCGUUGCUAAGGGCAUUGCAGAAGGAGUUUCUGGUGCAGUUGCAGCAGUAACUUCCAAAGACCAGGCCUGCUGCUAUCACUGUGGGGAAUUUGCACAUUUUAUAAAGGACUGUCCGGACAGGUCACCUACCCAAAACCCCCAAAACACCUACCAAAGACCCCAGAACCAGCAGCACUACCAGCAGUGUUUGGGAAACUUCCAAUGGAGCGCGGCCAGGCCCCGCACAAAGACAACAAAUCAAAAGCCAUCCAGACCCAACCAUGCAUCAUCCCAGGAGAUUCCAGGCCACCUGGAGAGGAUCCAACCCACGGAGCGAUACAGAUGGGAACACGGCGCCAGUUGGUGACACUCUCCAUGGCCCAGAGGAAAUCUUUGUUGUUCCAGAAGGCAAGCUGGCAACCAUCCGCCCAUUUGUGGUAAGAGCCCCCAUCACCCUUUGGGGCAGGGACGUUCUAUCCCAAUGGGGAGUUUCCCUACGUAUUCCCAGUCAGGAUUUCUGACUGGGCCACUGAGGUGUGCAUAUUACCAGAUACCCCUCAGCUCAGCUGGAAAGGCCAAGACCUGAUCUGGAUUGACCAGUGGCCCCUCUCUAAAGUAAAACUGUGCACUACAAGCCCUUGUGGAAGAACAGCUCACCAAAGGUCACAUCGUAGAGACCACCAGCCCUUGGAACUCUCCAGUCUUCGUACUGCAAAAACCUGGAACGGACAGGUGGAGGCUCCUCCAUGACCUUCGCAAAAUCAAUGAGAUCAUCGAGGACAUGGGCCCCCUCCAGCCUGGCCUGCCUUCACCAUCGAUGCUGCCUCGAGACUGGACACUUGCCAUCGUAGAUAUUAAAGACUGUUUCUUCAGCAUUGCGCUGCACCCCCAGGACGCUCUAUGGUUUUUUUCUCCGUUCCCUCUCUUAACAGAGAGGCUCCACUCAAAAGAUACCAUUGGUUGUAUCUUCCCCAGGGACUGAAAGUCUCACCUACUAUAUGCCAGUGGUACGUUGCUCACAUCCUGUCUCCUGUUCGGAACCUAUUUCCAGAUGCAAUCAUCUACCACUACAUGGAUGAUAUCCUGGUCUGUGCAUCAGCAAAAACUUAGACAUAAAGCAGUUAAAUGGACAAUCAAAACCAUAGAAAAAACAGGAUUCGAGAUCCGUGAGGACAAAAUACAGUACACCAACCCAUGGGCUUAUCUUGGAUUCCUGAUCCGGGAAAGGACCAUCAUACCCCAGCAGCUCGCCAUCUGAGACGACCCAAAAACCCUGAGAGACUUACACAGUCUGUACAGAUCCAUCAGCUGGGUACGUCCCCUGCUAGGAAUUACAACAGAGGACCUUGCUCCCCUGUUCACCCUUCUCCGUGGCAAUGAGGACCUCGACUCUCCAUGCACACUCACAACAGAAGCCCGAGACACCAUCACCAAGGUCCAAGAAGCCCUGUCUGCACGCCAAGCCCAUCGCUUCGAGCCCAAGCUGCCUUUCCAGUUCGUCAUUCCUGGAAAAGCACCCCGGUUCUAUGGACUGAUUUUCCAAUGGGAUCUUCAACUCCUAGACCAUUUAUUGAUACUGGAAUGGAUCUUUACAAACAACCAACCUUCAAAGACAAUUACCACUUUCCAAGAAAUCAUGGGACAUUUAAGAAAAUAAGCCAGAACUCGCCUCCGCUCCCUUGCUGGGUGUGAGUUCACAUGCAUAUACUUGCCACUGACCACUGGGGACCUGGAGCAUUUGCUCCAGACCAAUAAAAACCUCCAAUUUGCCCUAGACAGCUAUACAGGCCAAAUUUCCAUCCAUAUCCCAAAACACAAACUUUUUAAUGCAGUCUUUAAUCUGACCCCAAAAUUAGUCCAAAGUAAAACACCACUCAAAGCUCUAACAAUUUUUGCACACAGCUCAGGGUCAUCCCACAAGGGAUGUCGACUGAUAAGUGUAUGUAUUUUGACCUUCCAAAAUGUGGGAAGUGAGUUACAUCUGUCUGCCACAGCUGGCAGCUGUUCAGGCCUCGGGGAUUGGCUCCUGUCCCCAUAGAUGGUAUCUGGUAAUUUUGACAGUUCAAGCAUGUGGCCACAAUAGCUUUCGCUUGAUCUUUUGAAAGCUUGAACAUUCUGAUGAGGGAAGGUAUAUUUUGAUAGUAAAAUGUGUGUGACAACUUUGCCUGGGCAAAGAUGUCAGGGACAUUGACAGUUUCUAUUGCCAUGGCUAAUGCGACCACUUUCCUGUUCCCUUCUGUGAUGAAACCUGGGAGAUCGGUGUGUGACCUCACAUGCAUUGUAUGGUAAGGUUGCUUUCUGUGAGAGAUUGAGCAUGUUAAUGCCAAAAUAAGUUUGUGUAACUUUGGAUUGGAAAUCUCUUUAAGAAGAGUGUGUUCUGCUCUCAUAGCUAUACCUGCAACAUAUGCCGAAUCUGUGAGCAGAUUAAAAGGUUUGUCUUCGAAUUUCUCAAAGGCUCUGACAACAGCUGCUAAUUUUGCAAUCUGUGGAGAUCCCUUGAAGGACUUAAAAGUAGAAAACAACCCAGACUGGGUCAAUGACCUUUUCGGUCAGUGGGGAUUACCGAGAUGGGUUCCAUCUUUGGUUAAGGGAAUUUUGUGGAUUUUCAUUGUAAUUGUCAUUGUGUUAGCUAUGUUCUCAUGCCUUGUCCUCUGUUUUAAAAGAACUAUAGGGCACGCCUUUUUCCUAAAUACAGAAAGUGGAGUUGUAGCAGUCAGAGGCCCUGCAAGGCCUCCCUGGCAGUCACUCACCUAAGAUAAGAAAUGCCUAAGUCACGGUGACUGGACCAAAGAAGCCCCUCUUCUGCAUUCAGACCCUUCUUAUCUCUCUGUAAGGCUAUAGGUCAUAUUCUCCUCAAACCUGGCAACUGGACAAUUUCCAACACCCCAGUACCCCAUAUAAACGCCCAUUUCUAUCCAGUUUGGCAGAACUGUCACUGCAUCCCUUCAGAGGAGCUGGCAAUAAAGGACAUCGCUGUGGAACCACAUACAGCCUUUUCCUCUCUCUAUCCCUGUGUGUCUGCCAGAGGCACUUGUGAGCACAGAGCGAAAUCACUGAGAGCUGAACUCACAGAGCUGAAAUCACUCCAGAGGUGCUCGCUAAGUUGCCUGUGGCUGGGAGCUGAGCCGAGGGACCCAGACAGGCUGAGCCUGACAGCGCAGCGCUAUCCGGACACCCACGGCAGCGGCAGCCCGGGGGUCAGAUGGACCCCUGGGACCCCAGGCUGCAUUAACCAGGAGUGACUGGGAUCACAGAGGAACCAUAAAGGAAGUUACUGCAAUAAU